rnacentral:rRNA from 1 species
AACGGACGCUGGCGGCAGGCCUAACACAUGCAAGUCGAGCGAAGCCUUCGGGCUUAGUGGCGGACGGGUGAGUAACGCGUGGGAACGUGCCCUUUGGUACGGAAUAGCCCCGGGAAACUGGGAGUAAUACCGUAUGUGGUCGAGAGACGAAAGAUUUAUCGCCAAAGGAUCGGCCCGCGUUGGAUUAGGUAGUUGGUGGGGUAAUGGCCUCCCAAGCCGACGAUCCAUAGCUGGUUUGAGAGGAUGAUCAGCCACGCUGGGACUGAGACACGGCCCAGACUCCUACGGGAGGCAGCAGUGGGGAAUCUUAGACAAUGGGGGAAACCCUGAUCUAGCCAUGCCGCGUGAUCGAUGAAGGCCUUAGGGUUGUAAAGAUCUUUCAGUGGGGAAGAUAAUGACUGUACCCACAGAAGAAGCCCCGGCUAACUCCGUGCCAGCCGCCGCAGUAAUAC